CGGGGCGUAGCUCAGUUUGGUAGAGUGCUUGCUUUGGGAGCAAGAAGUCGAAGGUUCGAAUCCUUUCGCCCCGACCA
rnacentral:tRNA from 1 species